UGGGGAAUCUUGCGCAAUGGGCGAAAGCCUGACGCAGCGACGCCGCGUGAGUGAUGAAGGCCUUCGGGUUGUAAAGCUCUGUGGGGCGAGACGAAUAAGUGCAGCCUAAUACGUUGCAUGAUGACGGUAUCGCCUUAGCAAGCACCGGCUAACUCUGUGCCAGCAGCCGCGGUAAGACAGAGGGUGCAAACGUUGUUCGGAAUUACUGGGCGUAAAGCGAGUGUAGGCGGUCUGAUAAGUCGGGUGUGAAAGCCCUGGGCUCAACCCAGGAAGUGCACUCGAAACUGCCAGGCUAGAGUAUCGGAGAGGUUGGUGGAAUUCUCGGUGUAGAGGUGAAAUUCGUAGAUAUCGAGAGGAACACCGGUGGCGAAGGCGGCCAACUGGACGAAUACUGACGCUGAGACUCGAAAGCGUGGGGAGCAAACAGGAUUAGAUACCCCCGUAGUCC
rnacentral:rRNA from 1 species